GCUGUGUGUUCCCUUCUCUGGCAGCUUGGGAAAGACUAGGGGCCCUUUCAGGGAAAGGAGUAAGAGGAAACGGGCCUGAAAAAGCUGCAGUGAAAGCCUAAUUCUGAGCUUCAGCUGCGGACCGAGGCCUGGGAGUACAAAUGCAUUUUCUACCCAGGAGAACGGGGAGUGUUCGGAAAGGUUGUUUGGGGGAACUAGAGCCCCAGAGCUUCGGUGCUGGAGGAUCUCAGACAUCAGCUAGUAUAGCCCCCCCCAGAAGCCCCCCCAUUUUACUGGAAGGCUAAUCUGAAACAGAAUGGAAUUUGGCAGGGGCUGGGAUGCCUUUUCUCUUCUGAGGCCCUGUUUCCUGAAAGAGUGUCCAGAGGAGCUGAUUCCCCCCUUCCCCGUGGCACUCCUCAGGGCCUUUUUAAGAAAACCCAGAGGUCUGAUCUGGCUUCUCUGAAAGUAACAGGGUUUGUGGCUUCCAGGGGGUUUUCGGUUUGGAGCCAUAAUUUCUGUUUGUUCAUCUGACAUGUUCGUGCACUGCAGGCUUGUUGCCAGGUUUCCCCUCGCACGUUAUCAGGCCGUGCUUGUGCGUGGAACAAGCACAACUCAGGAAGGGACCGUACUAGGGCAGGGGCUGCUGGGGUCUGGGGGCGUCGGGAGGUCGAGGUCCUCAGGCCUGUGGUUGGGGAUGAACCGGGAGCCUCCUGGCCCAGAGUCCCCAGUGGGCAUCUGCACGGGCGGAGGGCUCAGGCCCCUGCAGGAGCCGAGAGGCUGCCUCAGGAAGAAGCCACCUGGGCUGGCCAGGGAGGCUCCGAGAAUGCGCAGGCCCCGGGCUCUGGAAGCUUCGGGAAGGGCUUAUCGAGAGGGCGGCAGCCGGCCCCGAGCAGAAAAAGGGCGAAGGGAGACAGAGAAAGCAAGUGGCACUGAGUGAGUCACCAGAGAGUCAGCGCCUCCUGACAGCAGCGGCUCUUGGCGACUCGGGAGGCACACGCAGCUGGACGUGGGGGCACCCUGAGCUGGGAAGGACCUUCUUGCUGCUGCUGUGACCGAGGCACUGAGGCACUGUUCUGGAAGCUGCCUCGGCAUAAAGACCCUCCAUCUGGGGAGGAAGGGAGACGGGAGGAGGGCCAGGGUGCUCUCUCGGGCCUGGCUCUGGGAUGCCCAGCCCAGGUGGCCGUGGGAUGCCCAGCCCAGGUGGCCGUGGCCUGGGUGGCAGUGAGAGGAGGCAGCCUCAGCUGCGCUGUGGUUUUCCUCCGUGUGACAGCACGACCACGACACUCAUGCCCCAGCUCAGCCGAUGACCGACGAGGAAAAUAAAAUGGAAUUUAUUAUU